rnacentral:rRNA from 1 species
ACAGUGGACGCGAGCAUCUGUGGCCAAGUUUUUAAGGGCGCACGGUGGAUGCCUUGGCACCAGGAACCGAUGAAGGACGUGGGAGGCCGCGAUAGGCCCCGGGGAGCUGUCAACCGAGCUGUGAUCCGGGGGUGUCCGAAUGGGGGAACCCGGCAGUCGUCAUGGGCUGUCACCUGCCGCUGAAUGUAUAGGCGGUGUGGAGGGAACGCGGGGAAGUGAAACAUCUCAGUACCCGUAGGAAGAGAAAACAACCGUGAUUCCGGGAGUAGUGGUGAGCGAAACCGGAGGAGGCUAAACCGUAUGUGUGUGAGACCCGGCAGGGGUUGCGCAUGCGGGGUUGUGGGAUCUCACUUCAAUGGUCUGCCGGCUGUUGGACGAGUGAAAAAUUGUUGGUGUAGGCGAAGGGCAUGCGAAAGGCCCGGCGUAGAGGGUAAGACCCCCGUAGCUGAAAUGCCAGCAACUUGUUUGUGAGACUCCCANUCAGAAAUUGUUGAUGUAGGCGAAGGGUAUGCGAAAGGCCCGGCGUAGAGGGUAAGACCCCCGUAGCUGAAAUGUCAGCAACUUGUUUGAGGAUCACCCGAGUAGCAUGGGGCCCGAGAAAUCCUGUGUGAAUCUGGCGGGACCACCCGUCAAGCCUAAAUAUUCCCUGGUGACCGAUAGCGGAUAGUACCGUGAGGGAAUGGUGAAAAGUACCGCGGGAGCGGAGUGAAAGAGUACCUGAAACCGUGUGCCUACAAGCCGUGGGAGCGUCGCGUUGCGUGUUUGCACGUAACGUCGUGACUGCGUGCCUUUUGAAGAAUGAGCCUGCGAGUUUGCGGCAUGUUGCGAGGUUAAC